rnacentral:tRNA from 1 species
GGGCUGAGGCUUAGAGGCAGAGCGCUCGCCUGGCAUGCGUGAGGUACUGGGUUUGAUCCCCAGCAUUACA